rnacentral:rRNA from 1 species
UUGAAGAGUUUGAUCAUGGCUCAGAUUGAACGCUGGCGGCAGGCCUAACACAUGCAAGUCGAGCGGUAGCACAGAGAGCUUGCUCUCGGGUGACGAGCGGCGGACGGGUGAGUAAUGUCUGGGAAACUGCCUGAUGGAGGGGGAUAACUACUGGAAACGGUGGCUAAUACCGCAUAAUGUCGCAAGACCAAAGUGGGGGACCUUCGGGCCUCAUGCCAUCAGAUGUGCCCAGAUGGGAUUAGCUAGUAGGUGGGGUAACGGCUCACCUAGGCGACGAUCCCUAGCUGGUCUGAGAGGAUGACCAGCCACACUGGAACUGAGACACGGUCCAGACUCCUACGGGAGGCAGCAGUGGGGAAUAUUGCACAAUGGGCGCAAGCCUGAUGCAGCCAUGCCGCGUGUGUGAAGAAGGCCUUCGGGUUGUAAAGCACUUUCAGCGGGGAGGAAGGCGUUAAGGUUAAUAACCUUGGCGAUUGACGUUACCCGCAGAAGAAGCACCGGCUAACUCCGUGCCAGCAGCCGCGGUAAUACGGAGGGUGCAAGCGUUAAUCGGAAUUACUGGGCGUAAAGCGCACGCAGGCGGUCUGUCAAGUCGGAUGUGAAAUCCCCGGGCUCAACCUGGGAACUGCAUUCGAAACUGGCAGGCUAGAGUCUUGUAGAGGGGGGUAGAAUUCCAGGUGUAGCGGUGAAAUGCGUAGAGAUCUGGAGGAAUACCGGUGGCGAAGGCGGCCCCCUGGACAAAGACUGACGCUCAGGUGCGAAAGCGUGGGGAGCAAACAGGAUUAGAUACCCUGGUAGUCCACGCCGUAAACGAUGUCGAUUUGGAGGUUGUGCCCUUGAGGCGUGGCUUCCGGAGCUAACGCGUUAAAUCGACCGCCUGGGGAGUACGGCCGCAAGGUUAAAACUCAAAUGAAUUGACGGGGGCCCGCACAAGCGGUGGAGCAUGUGGUUUAAUUCGAUGCAACGCGAAGAACCUUACCUGGUCUUGACAUCCACAGAACUUUCCAGAGAUGGAUUGGUGCCUUCGGGAACUGUGAGACAGGUGCUGCAUGGCUGUCGUCAGCUCGUGUUGUGAAAUGUUGGGUUAAGUCCCGCAACGAGCGCAACCCUUAUCCUUUGUUGCCAGCGGUUAGGCCGGGAACUCAAAGGAGACUGCCAGUGAUAAACUGGAGGAAGGUGGGGAUGACGUCAAGUCAUCAUGGCCCUUACGACCAGGGCUACACACGUGCUACAAUGGCAUAUACAAAGAGAAGCGACCUCGCGAGAGCAAGCGGACCUCAUAAAGUAUGUCGUAGUCCGGAUUGGAGUCUGCAACUCGACUCCAUGAAGUCGGAAUCGCUAGUAAUCGUAGAUCAGAAUGCUACGGUGAAUACGUUCCCGGGCCUUGUACACACCGCCCGUCACACCAUGGGAGUGGGUUGCAAAAGAAGUAGGUAGCUUAACCUUCGGGAGGGCGCUUACCACUUUGUGAUUCAUGACUGGGGUGAAGUCGUAACAAGGUAACCGUAGGGGAACCUGCGGUUGGAUCACCUCCUU